rnacentral:rRNA from 1 species
UGGGGAAUUUUGGACAAUGGGCGAAAGCCUGAUCCAGCCAUUCCGCGUGCAGGAUGAAGGCCCUCGGGUUGUAAACUGCUUUUGUACGGAACGAAACGCGCUGAGCUAAUACCUCGGCGUAAUGACGGUACCGUAAGAAUAAGCACCGGCUAACUACGUGCCAGCAGCCGCGGUAAUACGUAGGGUGCAAGCGUUAAUCGGAAUUACUGGGCGUAAAGCGUGCGCAGGCGGUGAUGUAAGACAGAUGUGAAAUCCCCGGGCUCAACCUGGGAACUGCAUUUGUGACUGCAUCGCUGGAGUGCGGCAGAGGGGGAUGGAAUUCCGCGUGUAGCAGUGAAAUGCGUAGAUAUGCGGAGGAACACCGAUGGCGAAGGCAAUCCCCUGGGCCUGCACUGACGCUCAUGCACGAAAGCGUGGGGAGCAAACAGG